UACGGGGGGGGCAAGCGUUGUUCGGAAUUACUGGGCGUAAAGGGCGCGUAGGCGGCCUGCUAAGUCGGACGUGAAAUCCCUCGGCUCAACCGAGGAACUGCGUCCGAUACUGGUGGGCUUGAAUCCGGGAGAGGGAUGUGGAAUUCCAGGUGUAGCGGUGAAAUGCGUAGAUAUCUGGAGGAACACCGGUGGCGAAGGCGGCAUCCUGGACCGGUAUUGACGCUGAGGCGGCGAAAAGCUGAGGGGAGCAAACGGGG
rnacentral:rRNA from 1 species